rnacentral:lncRNA from 1 species
UUUUUUUUUUUUUUUUCAUCUUUUCAGGGCCAUACCCAUGGCAUAUGGAGGUUCCCAGGCUAAAGGUUGAAUCGGAGCUGCAGUCGCUGGCCAAUGCCACAGCCACAGCCAUGCCAGAUCCGAGACGUGUCUGUGACCUACACCACAGCUUAUGGCAAUGCCGGAUCCUCGACCCACCGAGCGAGGCCGGGGAUCGAACCCACGUCCUCAUGGAUGCUAGUCGGGUUCAUUAACCAUCUAAGCCAUGAUGGGAAUUCCGAUUGACUGCAUUCUAGUUUGAGUAACUAAAUAGAUGGAAUGUCACCACAAAGAUACAAAGCACAGGUAAGGGAAGGGAGCAAAUGGCCAGUCAACUGUGCCAGCUUAGGCUAAGUCUGCAGUGCUGAUGAGACAUCUAAGAGAAGCCAUCCAGUUGAUGACUGUACAUAAGAGUCCAGAACUCAAGGUCCAGAUCAGAGCUGGAGAUCACAGUUACAGAUAGUAGUUACAAACCACAGAUUUUCUGGGAAUGGAGUGGGGUUAAGAGGAAAGAAAAGGCAAACUCAACACUGAGGGGUCAGUGGGACUACCAACACUGAGGGGUCAGUGGGACUCAUGAAGAGGAAACCCUAAGGAAACUGAGGGUGUGACCAAUAGUUAAAUAGGCCAGACACACCCAAGAAAAAAAGGAUGAAAACUUUCCACUUGGUUCUAUGGUGAGGACACUAGUAGGUCCACCCAGAGCAGGUGGAGUGGAGUGAUGAGGACAUAAGCCACCCAACCUUAUAUUAAGGAGCAAAUGGGAAAUGAGUGGACAGGGCAUAAGAAGACAGUAGAGCACUCUUUCCAGAUGCUUGGCUGUGAAGGAAAAGACAGAGUUAGGGCAAACGUAUGGCUUCAAGCACAAUGGUCAUGAACUUAGGGGGAAAGCCAGGAGGGAGAGAAGCUAUAAAAACAAAUGGUAACUGAAAGAGUGGGAUGAUGGUAGCUAUGAGAGGAGGAGGGGUACAAAGCCAUGGUGAUGGGAUACGUCUUAGGAAGAGCACGUCUCUCUAGGAAUGGGAGGGAGUAGGAGCAAAGAGGGAAAGAGCAGAAAAUAGGAGAAAAGGAUAAAAUGUGGCAGCUGGAUCAUCCUCACAAUCUAAUCUUUGGAGUUCUUCUUCCAGGAGUUAGUGAGAACUCUUGGUCACUAUGCUCUAUGAUGUAUUUUUCGCUCCUGCCCCUUCCUUCCUUUCCUCAUUGCCCCUUCUUUGUGCUCCGGGCUACCUGCCCAUUUCCUUUUCACUGCCCCACUUGCCUGUCACUAAGAUGGUCUUUGUUGAACUUCCACAUCCACUAUGACCAGCCUUGUAGCACAGGACAAGCACUGAGGCAACCAAGGGAGGCUGGGACCGAGGUGUCCAGGUCCCAAGCACCCUAUACUCACCUAAUGAGCCAUCCAGGGGGUACAGGGAAACACAGCUGGAGGCAUUAUCAGGACCACAGUUAUCCUUCGGAGGAUAUCCUUGAUGGCAAGUGGAGAUGAUGCCACCACCUUCUUCAACAUUGACCUCAUAGAUUGAGGAGAUGGAAGAGUGCAGGAAGGUCAGCCCACCGAGACAUGAGUCUUUCAUCAGAUCCCUCGUCAUUUCCAACCCUUUCAAAUGAAAUCCAAAAUAUUCUCAGAUCCACAGGAUUGUACUUUUAUACUCAUUGCCUGAGAAAAUACAGCUCAAAAGGCUUCUCUUCAUCUGCUACUGUCUUAAGUAUUUUUUAUACAUAUUUGCAAUAUAUGUGAAUAUAUAAUUUCAAGACAUAUCUGUCUAUAAGCAAUGUUUGGUAAGUAUAUGGAUCUGGGGACACACUGCAAUAAAUCUACUUUUUCCCAGUUGUCAGGCUCUAAGGUCCACCUGCUGGAAAAGGCAGAUCCAGACUCUGUCCAGCAUUUGGGUGAAAGAUGGAGGGGGAAGAGAAUGCUCUGCCAUGGCAGAGAAGUACCUUCAUGAGAUCAAAUCAGGUAUCAGCAAGAUCAGAGAAUAGAAAUCCUCCCAGAGCCAAGAUUCUAUGGAAAGAUGAAGUUCGACAUAUCUUCAUCUCCUCCUGCGUGGAAUUGGCCAACCAGGCCCGAAGGCACCAAAGAGCAAUAUCUAAAUGAGCGUGUGACUCUCCAUAACUAAAUGAAUGUGUAGAGAUCACCAGAGUGAAAAACUGCUUAAAUGAGUAACUGUGUCAGUUAUCAUUUGCGUCAAAGCUCUCUCUUCAUUCUUACCGACAAUUAUCUUGGUCCCUCCUUCUCCACCCACUCAAUUUUGCAAUCCCUUACGUGCAAGCUAGAUGCUAUAUAUAUCAUGUACACCAUCUCAUUUAAUCUUGACAACACUUUCAUGGAGUAGGUAUUAUUAUCCUUGUUUUUAUAAAUGGGGAAAUGGAGGAUCAGAGAGGUCAACUGUUUUCUCCAAGGUCGGAGAGGCAAUAAUUGAUGGAGUUAGAAUCCACAUUCAGAUUCCAUAUGGUACAAAUUCUCUUUUCAAUACAGUGAGCUUCCCUCUUUCCCUCUGAACUACAGCAAUCGUGUGAAGAGAUGGAGUAGAAGUAGGGGCGGUAGUCAUUUUUUAAGUUUCCAGGCAGAAGGAACUCCUCCUAAUGGCAUUUCCAUAAUUAGAAGGCAUUUUUUUCUGAUAGUUAUAAUUCAGGCAAUUGGAGUGACAUUCAGCUGAAACCUGGCAUGCAAGAUGUUCGCUGCUCUUAAAAGUUCACUUUUAAUUGGUCCCAGUUCUUUCCAAGUCUGGAAGACAUACAGAAUGUGUACUUCUGACGUUUCCAAUGUUGACGUCUGUUUGACAGAAGGACUCAAUCCCUGGAGUUUCCACUGAAUACCCUUGUAAGAGAGGGAGGACGAGGUAAAAGCAGACAAAGAGGGAAGGAGGGAAAGAGAAAAGGAGGGGCCCUGUCAGAGCAUAGUGUUCCCGAAGGGACUCUAGACUCCAGAGUACAUUCUGUAAACAACACGGAAUAGGAAAAUAUCCUGCAAAGAAAAUCGCACACCCUCAUGCUUCACAGAUCUCUGGGGAAUUGGGGGCUGCAUCCAUGAUGCUCCAGUUUAUCAGUUCGGACCGUCCUUACUGGGUCUCCAACCAUUAGAAAAGUGGGCACCAUCCAGAGAAGUUGGACUGCAGUCUGUAAAGUGAAAAAUAACAUAAGACUCCUCUAGAAUUCUCACUGCAUUUCUGGGCUCAAGGAACAGCCCACAUCACAGAGAAUUCUAGAAUUUGUGCUAAUUGAAGGGAGAAAACCAAGGAACUAGAGCGAUGUGGUGGGGAGAACAAAGGAUGGAUGAAAUGGAGCCAGAAGAAGUAGAUUUAAGUCCCAGUCCAGCUCUAACACUCGAUCUCUAUGUAAACUCCUUAAGCCUCAACUUUCUGGG